AAAAAAAGAAAUGAAAACAAGAUAUUUGACAUCAGAAGUCAAGGAAAAAGGUGGAGGGAUCUUUUAAGGGGAAGGAGUUAUUCACAAAUAUUUAAUUUUAUAUUUACUGUAUGAUCCUGUAUACACGCUGGUUCUUUUAUUAUGUUUUGGGGUGGGGUGAAAUUUUUGAAUUUUCUAUUAUUUCAAUAUUUGGGGUGCGAAGUUCAUGAUUAAUUAGUAAUGCUUAUAUAUACACUGCGAUUGUUUUAUGUGUUAUUCUAUAAUCACCACAACAAUUACUGAUAAAUCUACUAAAUAUUUUAUUUAAUGUGAAUAUCGUUUUCAAUUUGAA
rnacentral:lncRNA from 1 species